UCCGGCUUAUCACCGGCAGUUUCCUCAGAGUGCCCAGCAUUACCUGGUAGCAACAGAGGAUGAGGGUUGCGCUCGUUGCGGGACUUAACCCAACAUCUCACGACACGAGCUGACGACAGCCAUGCAGCACCUGUGCUCCCUCCGGCCGAACCGAAGGGCUCCGUUUCUGGAGCCCGCGAGGGGCAUGUCAAGGCCUGGUAAGGUUCUUCGCGUUGCCUCGAAUUAAACCACAUGUUCCACCGCUUGUGCGGGUCCCCGUCAAUUCCUUUGAGUUUUAAUCUUGCGACCGUACUCCCCAGGCGGGAUGCUUAACGCGUUAGCUACGCCACCGGCCCCGAAGGGACCGACGGCUAGCAUCCAUCGUUUACGGCGUGGACUAC
rnacentral:misc_RNA from 1 species